GCACGUACAUAAAAGCAUGGGUGCGCAAGCACCGCCGCCGCCCCUCAUUCCUUCCCUCCCCUCCCCUCCCCUCCCCUCACCUCACCUCACCUCCCCCUCCCCAGCUGUGUUUAUGUGUAUCUUCUCUGGAACCGUUUUCAUCUUUUUUCUCUUUCGAUUUACACGCCGUACCGAACUGGUCUGCCACUCGCUCGCUCGCCCUCUCUCGCGUCUAUCUACUGCAUCAUCGCUCACCCACGCGAUGCGUCAUCACAGCCGCCCCAUCCCUCCUCUCCCUCGACGCUCUUCGUUUUUAGGUCUUGUCUGUGUUGGCAUGUGUCGAGUGAGUGUGCCUGUCUGCCCCCUCCCCUUGCCUCUCCCUCUGUGUGUGUGUGUGUGUGUGCCAUCCAUCUUGCCGCAGCGCAGAUCACUACACUUGCCGGCCACUUCGUUGUCGCGGUCGCUGUUCCUCCGAGAGGAAGAUAGUGAAAGGGACGCGCGUCGCACGCAGAGUGAGGUGGCCCACUCACAGGGGAGGUCACGGAGAUGGGCAACGGUUGCUGCGGCUGCUGUGACGCGAAGCCGGAGUACAAGCUCGGCAGGCCUCUUGUCUCGGGUAAAACCACCCCGUGCUUCAAUGAUGGCCGCCUCUUCAAGAUCGUCAAGGGCGAUAUCUGGUACUUCUACAACGACACGCAGGACUAUCAGAUGAAGGUGACAGCCGACUUCGGCAAUGGCUCGAACAUCGUCGCGAUGAGCGACACAGAACUCGUGCGCAAGAAUGACUCCGGCGCCUGCACCGCGACCGUGUCCGUGUUCCCGCUCGAGACCAAGGCCAUGGUGAAAACCAAGGAGGUGAACGGCUUCAACGUAAAGUACUCCGGCAUCGCCUUCACCGAUGCGUACCGACAGAAGCUGCGUCAGAAGGCGGCAGCGCAGGUCAGCGCCGACCUCGCCGAGAUGCGCAAGCUGCGCGAGAGAAACCCGAAGGUCAACAACCAAAAUCGACUCCUGAAGGUGGCACGGACAAAGGGCAAGAUGUACGUUGACACGUCCUUUCCGCCCACCUCUCAGUCGCUGAUCCGCCCUGGCAUCGACCCAGACCCGGAUGCGUGCCUGAAGCGGCCGGAGACGAUCGCAUGGCGUCGCCCCGAAGACUUCCUGCCGAAGAAGUGGCACCCGAAAAUUCGUCUCUUCGGCAACAUCUCGCCCAAGGACAUUAGCCAGGGUCAGCUCGGGGAUUGCUACUACCUCUGCGCACUUGCGGCGCUGGCCGAGCACGACGCCGCCAUCAAGGGCAUCUUUAAGAACCGCCACGGCUGCUGCAUCCGCAGCCAGGAGCGAAAGCAUGGUGCGUGGCGCGUGAACCUGAACAUAAGCGGGUGGUGGCGCACCAUCAUCAUCGACUCGUAUUUGCCCAGCGUGCAGCUGUUGCCGGUGUUCGCGCGCAACCGCAACCACCCGAACGAGCUGUGGGUGUCCUUUGCAGAGAAGGCCUACGCGAAGGUCUUCGGUUCGUACCAGGCGAUCGUGGCUGGAUACCCGUGGCAAGCCCUCGAGGACCUCACCGGCUUCCCGGCCUACGACUUUGGCAACAUGUGGAGGACAGCGCAGACGGACACCGAUACACGGAAGAAGCUCUUCGACUCCCUCCACUGGUGGAACGAGAAGAAGUACCUGAUCUGCAUUGCCACCCCGUCGAACGGCGCCCUAAAGAUGGCUGGUAAGCAGCGCUCAGCAAACCAGUUGGAGGCGCUCUUUGAGAAGGCCGGCCUGAACAUCGGCCACGCGUACUCGGUGCUGGACGUGAAACACUUCCCACUGCACCGGCUGUGCAUGCUGAAGAUCCGAAACCCGUGGGGGUCGCAUGUGGAGUGGACCGGGGACUGGGGAGAUGACAGUCCGCUGUGGAACCGCUACCCAUUCAUCAAGCUCGCCUGCCGUCCUCAGAAGAAGGCGGAUGGCAUCUUCUGGAUGGAGUGGCGCGAUGUGUCUAAGUUCUUCGACAGCGGCUCCGUGUGCUUCCGCCGUGGUCACUGGUUCCGUUCGUGGUAUGACUACCGCGUCAUCGGCAGCUUUGAGGACCUUGUGUGCGACACCGCGCUGCUGAUCAUCGUGAACAAGACGUCGCAGUUUCCGGCGUACAUUUCGCUGCACCAGAAGGACUGCCGCGGGCUGCCGACCAGCGACCCGGACAGCAAGUACGCUUGCGUGAUGAUCAGCAUUUCCGAGGGCGACAUCAACGGCUCGCAGCAGAAGGUGGUAGCAAACUCCAGCGAGAACCCGGAGGAGCCGAGCACCGAAUACCUCUUCCAGGAGUCUCGCUCUGUCUCCCUCUACUAUAAGUUCGCAAAGGCCCACAAGUACCUCGUCAUUCCGCGUCGCAUGAAAAGCAGCACCGGCAACAACGUCCCAAAGAAGAAGUACGUCAUCGCGCUCCGCACGCAGACCAAGGUGUCCAGCGAGGACGUCGUCGUGAACAUUGUGCGCCUUGACAAGAACAACGCGGUGUUCAAGAACGUGGCCUCUUUCGACGCUGGCACACCGACGAGCCUCAACACGCUGUACCAGAUCAAGGACGGCAACAACGUCUUUCGCACCUACCGCAGCGACAACUUGCGCAAGGGCAAGAAGCAGCACAACGCGGAGUUCGAGCUGGUGAUGUGAGAGGUGAAUGCUGCACACAUAUAUGUGUAGUGUGCACUGGUGCAACAGUAUCUCCUCUUCUGUCUUUAAGACCAUGCGUGUGUGUCUUGUGUGAGUGCCUCAUCUUGGUUCUCACACCGGGAACUCGUCUGCUGCUGUCGAUUUCCUAGCAUCCACCGCCACCUUCACGUACUUGUGCAUAAAUCCGCGCGCAGGCAAGGUGAGGAAAAGCGCACGGGCUUCUUACUCGCUGUCCUUUCCCCCACCCCCCACGUCGCGCUGCCGCCCUGACCCGCACCGGCUCCCUAUCAUACGCACACCGUGCCCAACUCUGCGAGCGUGCACAACUCUUUCGAUUCUACUGGAUCUCUGCUGGUACGCGUGGGCCCGAGCCGCCCCCUUCUCACCGCUCCUCCUCCCACCGUCAGCACGCACGCAAAACCGUCGACGUCCACGCACACGCUCGGAUGGCAUCUCUUCUCUAAUUAAGCAUUUUUCUUUUUAUACACGUAUCCAUAUGCCAGUCUCUUUGGCUUCCCCUCUCCCCCCUCCUCCCAUCCUCGCAUAUCUUCAGUCGUGAGAUGCAGGCACAUGGUAUCAAGCAGGUGCUCUCCCCUCUCCCCGCCCACCUGCAUACACCCUUUUUCCCAUGAUUCGCUUGCCAAGCCUUGACGUAGCGCUCUUGUGUAGAGAGAGGUCCACAGCAUCGCGCGCGCACGUACACGCACACAUACACAUACCCAGGGGUGCAAAUCUGCCCGUUGAGUGUGCUGAGGUGGGCGACUAUAUUCGUGUGUGUGUGUGUGGACUCGUUGAAGUGCAUUGUCAUCGCCUUCUCUGUUUGCUGCUGCUGUUCUUUCUGUUCCUCCCCCUCCCCCUACGGCUACGACUAGGACUCCUUACAUCUGAUGUUCUUCGUUUACCAAAGUCGAAUCUCCCCCGCCCCCUCCCUUAUGUUUCUUUUUGUUUGGUUACGUGUCGGUGUGUCUGCGCGUACGCCGAGCGGCCGAGACUCUCCGUCUCCCGCUUCCUCGGCACGCGUGUGUGCGCGGCAAGCAAAAG
rnacentral:misc_RNA from 1 species